AUUGAACGCUGGCGGCAGGCUUAACACAUGCAAGUCGAGCGGAAGGUGUCUUCGGGCACUGAGAGCGGCGAACGGGUGAGUAACGCGUGGGAAUUUGCCUAAUAGUGGGGGACAACAUUGCGAAAGUGAUGCUAAUACCGCAUACGCCCUAAGGGGGAAAGUGGGGGAUCUUCGGACCUCACGCUAUUAGAGGAGCCCGCGUCGGAUUAGCUAGUUGGUAGGGUAAAGGCCUACCAAGGCGACGAUCCGUAACUGGUCUGAGAGGAUGAUCAGUCACACUGGAACUGAGACACGGUCCAGACUCCUACGGGAGGCAGCAGUGGGGAAUAUUGGACAAUGGGGGCAACCCUGAUCCAGCCAUGCCGCGUGUGUGAAGAAGGCCUUCGGGUUGUAAAGCACUUUAAGUUGGGAGGAAGGCCUUGAAGUUAAUACCUUUGAGGAUUGACGUUACCAACAGAAUAAGCACCGGCUAACUCCGUGCCAGCCGCCGCGGUAA
rnacentral:rRNA from 1 species